rnacentral:rRNA from 1 species
AACAGAUUUACUUCGGUAAUGACGUUAGGAAAGCGAGCGGCGGAUGGGUGAGUAACACGUGGGGAAUCUGCCCCAUAGUCUGGGAUACCACUUGGAAACAGGUGCUAAUACCGGAUAAGAAAGCAGAUCGCAUGAUCAGCUUUUAAAAGGCGGCGUAAGCUGUCGCUAUGGGAUGGCCCCGCGGUGCAUUAGCUAGUUGGUAAGGUAAAGGCUUACCAAGGCGAUGAUGCAUAGCCGAGUUGAGAGACUGAUCGGCCACAUUGGUACUGAGACACGGCCCAAACUCCUACGGGAGGCAGCAGUAGGGAAUCUUCCACAAUGGACGCAAGUCUGAUGGAGCAACGCCGCGUGAGUGAAGAAGGUUUUCGGAUCGUAAAGCUCUGUUGUUGGUGAA